CCUACGGGUGGCAGCAGUGAGGAAUAUUGGUCAAUGGACGAGAGUCUGAACCAGCCAAGUAGCGUGAAGGAUGACUGCCCUAUGGGUUGUAAACUUCUUUUAUAUGGGAAUAAAAUGUUCCACGUGUGGGAUUUUGUAUGUACCAUAUGAAUAAGGUUCGGCUAACUCCGUGCCAGCAGCCGCGGUAAUACGGAGGAUCCGAGCGUUAUCCGGAUUUAUUGGGUUUAAAGGGAGCGUAGGUGGAUUGUUAAGUCAGUUGUGAAAGUUUGCGGCUCAACCGUAAAAUUGCAGUUGAAACUGGCAGUCUUGAGUACAGUAGAGGUGGGCGGAAUUCGUGGUGUAGCGGUGAAAUGCUUAGAUAUCACGAAGAACUCCGAUUGCGAAGGCAGUUCACUGGACUGCAACUGACACUGAGGCUCGAAAGUGUGGGUAUCAAACAGGAUUAGAUACCCUUGUAGUC
rnacentral:rRNA from 1 species